UUAAGCGACUAAGCGUACACGGUGGAUGCCCUGGCAGUCAGAGGCGAUGAAGGGCGUGCUAAUCUGCGAUAAGCGCCGGUAAGGUGAUAUGAACCGUUAUAACCGGCGAUACCCGAAUGGGGAAACCCAGUGUGACUCGUCACACUAUCAUUAACUGAAUCCAUAGGUUAAUGAGGCGAACCGGGGGAACUGAAACAUCUAAGUACCCCGAGGAAAAGAAAUCAACCGAGAUUCCCCCAGUAGCGGCGAGCGAACGGGGAGGAGCCCAGAGCCUGAAUCAGCAUGUGUGUUAGUGGAAGCGUCUGGAAAGACGCGCGAUACAGGGUGACAGCCCCGUACACAAAAGCGUAUGUGCUGUGAGCUCGAUGAGUAGGGCGGGACACGUGGUAUCCUGUCUGAAUAUGGGGGGACCAUCCUCCAAGGCUAAAUACUCCUGACUGACCGAUAGUGAACCAGUACCGUGAGGGAAAGGCGAAAAGAACCCCGGCGAGGGGAGUGAAAAAGAACCUGAAACCGUGUACGUACAAGCAGUGGGAGCACAGGUUUACCUGUGUGACUGCGUACCUUUUGUAUAAUGGGUCAGCGACUUAUAUUCUGUAGCAAGGUUAACCGAAUAGGGGAGCCGGAGGGAAACCGAGUCUUAAUUGGGCGUUAAGUUGCAGGGUAUAGACCCGAAACCCGGUGAUCUAGCCAUGGGCAGGUUGAAGGUUGGGUAACACUAACUGGAGGACCGAACCGACUAAUGUUGAAAAAUUAGCGGAUGACCUGUGGCUGGGGGUGAAAGGCCAAUCAAACCGGGAGAUAGCUGGUUCUCCCCGAAAGCUAUUUAGGUAGCGCCUCGUGAAUUCAUCUCCGGGGGUAGAGCACUGUUUCGGCUAGGGGGCCAUCCCGGCUUACCAACCCGAUGCAAACUGCGAAUACCGGAGAAUGUUAUCACGGGAGACACACGGCGGGUGCUAACGUCCGUCGUGAAGAGGGAAACAACCCAGACCGCCAGCUAAGGUCCCAAAGUCAUGGUUAAGUGGGAAACGAUGUGGGAAGGCCCAGACAGCCAGGAUGUUGGCUUAGAAGCAGCCAUCAUUUAAAGAAAGCGUAAUAGCUCACUGGUCGAGUCGGCCUGCGCGGAAGAUGUAACGGGGCUAAACCAUGCACCGAAGCUGCGGCAGCGAACGUAUCACUUAAAGCGAUUCAGCGGGUUACGAUUGACGGAGCGAAGCGACGUCAAAGCGUAUACAAAGUCGAGUCGGUUUAAGGAUACGUUCGUUGGGUAGGGGAGCGUUCUGUAAGCCUGUGAAGGUGGCCUGUGAGGGUUGCUGGAGGUAUCAGAAGUGCGAAUGCUGACAUAAGUAACGAUAAAGCGGGUGAAAAGCCCGCUCGCCGGAAGACCAAGGGUUCCUGUCCAACGUUAAUCGGGGCAGGGUGAGUCGACCCCUAAGGCGAGGCCGAAAGGCGUAGUCGAUGGGAAACGGGUUAAUAUUCCCGUACUUGGUGUUACUGCGAAGGGGGGACGGAGAAGGCUAUGUUGGCCGGGCGACGGUUGUCCCGGUUUAAGCGUGUAGGUGUGUGUUCCAGGUAAAUCCGGUUCACUUUAACACUGAGGCGUGACGACGAGGCACUACGGUGCUGAAGCAACAAAUGCCCUGCUUCCAGGAAAAGCCUCUAAGCAUCAGGUAACAUCAAAUCGUACCCCAAACCGACACAGGUGGUCAGGUAGAGAAUACCAAGGCGCUUGAGAGAACUCGGGUGAAGGAACUAGGCAAAAUGGUGCCGUAACUUCGGGAGAAGGCACGCUGACACGUAGGUGAAGUGAUUUACUCAUGGAGCUGAAGUCAGUCGAAGAUACCAGCUGGCUGCAACUGUUUAUUAAAAACACAGCACUGUGCAAACACGAAAGUGGACGUAUACGGUGUGACGCCUGCCCGGUGCCGGAAGGUUAAUUGAUGGGGUCAGCGCAAGCGAAGCUCCUGAUCGAAGCCCCGGUAAACGGCGGCCGUAACUAUAACGGUCCUAAGGUAGCGAAAUUCCUUGUCGGGUAAGUUCCGACCUGCACGAAUGGCGUAAUGAUGGCCAGGCUGUCUCCACCCGAGACUCAGUGAAAUUGAACUCGCUGUGAAGAUGCAGUGUACCCGCGGCAAGACGGAAAGACCCCGUGAACCUUUACUAUAGCUUGACACUGAACAUUGAGCCUUGAUGUGUAGGAUAGGUGGGAGGCUUUGAAGUGUGGACGCCAGUCUGCAUGGAGCCGACCUUGAAAUACCACCCUUUAAUGUUUGAUGUUCUAACGUGGACCCGUAAUCCGGGUUGCGGACAGUGUCUGGUGGGUAGUUUGACUGGGGCGGUCUCCUCCUAAAGAGUAACGGAGGAGCACGAAGGUUGGCUAAUCCUGGUCGGACAUCAGGAGGUUAGUGCAAUGGCAUAAGCCAGCUUGACUGCGAGCGUGACGGCGCGAGCAGGUGCGAAAGCAGGUCAUAGUGAUCCGGUGGUUCUGAAUGGAAGGGCCAUCGCUCAACGGAUAAAAGGUACUCCGGGGAUAACAGGCUGAUACCGCCCAAGAGUUCAUAUCGACGGCGGUGUUUGGCACCUCGAUGUCGGCUCAUCACAUCCUGGGGCUGAAGUAGGUCCCAAGGGUAUGGCUGUUCGCCAUUUAAAGUGGUACGCGAGCUGGGUUUAGAACGUCGUGAGACAGUUCGGUCCCUAUCUGCCGUGGGCGCUGGAGAACUGAGGGGGGCUGCUCCUAGUACGAGAGGACCGGAGUGGACGCAUCACUGGUGUUCGGGUUGUCAUGCCAAUGGCACUGCCCGGUAGCUAAAUGCGGAAGAGAUAAGUGCUGAAAGCAUCUAAGCACGAAACUUGCCCCGAGAUGAGUUCUCCCUGAGACUUAGAGUCUCCUGAAGGAACGUUGAAGACGACGACGUUGAUAGGCCGGGUGUGUAAGCGCAGCGAUGCGUUGAGCUAACCGGUACUAAUGAACCGUGAGGCUUAACCUU
rnacentral:rRNA from 1 species